GAUGAACGCUGGCGGCGUGCCUAAUACAUUCGAGUCGAGCGAACAGACGAGGAGCUUGCUCCUCUGACGUUAGCGGCGGACGGGUGAGUAACACGUGGAUAACCUACCUAUAAGACUGGGAUAACUUCGGGAAACCGGAGCUAAUACCGGAUAAUAUAUUGAACCGCAUGGUUCAAUAGUGAAAGACGGUUUUGCUGUCACUUAUAGAUGGAUCCGCGCCGCAUUAGCUAGUUGGUAAGGUAACGGCUUACCAAGGCAACGAUGCGUAGCCGACCUGAGAGGGUGAUCGGCCACACUGGAACUGAGACACGGUCCAGACUCCUACGGGAGGCAGCAGUAGGGAAUCUUCCGCAAUGGGCGAAAGCCUGACGGAGCAACGCCGCGUGAGUGAUGAAGGUCUUCGGAUCGUAAAACUCUGUUAUUAGGGAAGAACAAAUGUGUAAGUAACUAUGCACGUCUUGACGGUACCUAAUCAGAAAGCCACGGCUAACUACGUG
rnacentral:rRNA from 1 species